rnacentral:lncRNA from 1 species
UCGAAGCUGCUCUCAGAUUUUUCCAUCGGCGCUCCGUAAUGCGGGAGCCGUCGAACGUCGCUGCAGCCAUCCUCGGUAGACAAGACAACGAUACGGACAAUAGUAAGAUAUAAUUUAAUCGCUCCUUUUCUUCCUCCUUUUCCCCGCUUCUCGUUCCUUCUGUGAAAUGUCAGAGAUACAUGGCGUGGCGGUCGCGUUUGCCCGCGUCAACGUAACUCGGAAAGAAGAAUUGAACGAACGGUUAUAUGCGGGGAGUCUUCGAGGUCUGGAACGAAGGACGUGCCUGUCCGACUGCCCGACCAUGGCACGGUGAGACUGAAGAGGCUGGUAUCCACCAUGCGGCAAGAACCCGGAGGGAUAUUUCAUCACGACGAACAUCUGCAUAUUGCUAUAUCAACUCGAAGAAACGUCGAAUGGUCCACGGGGGCAUAAAGCAUCCAAGGAAACAUCGUAAACCAUGUGAUAUCAUCUUCCAACUUCGGCUUUGUCUCCGUAUCCAGCAUUCGCUUCCUCGGGCUAGCCGGGAGCAGAAACUACGACUCUCCCGAUGCGACUCAACCGAUUAUCAAUUGGCCAGACACUCGCGAGGUAUUUUCAAAAUCGACCGCAAAAACAGCCUCUGUUCUUUUUCACUUCCCUGGAUUCGUCUCGCGGAUCGAAACGAGGGCGCGCAAUCGGCUGUCUCCGCAAGUCAGGUCGCGCAGUGUUUCAGCCUAGCUUCCUGCAGUUAAGAACGAAUGUAUACGGUGCGCCAGAAUUCGAGGGAACGAGCACCGUUUCACAACCAUUACACCUACUGGAGCGGAACCGUGAUGUUUGCAGAGGGACCUUGUGAAGUCUUCCGGCGUAACUCCAUCCAGGCACUCUCUCGAUGAUGCGUGUACUGGCGGAACCUCGUAAAACACCGAUUCCGAACGACGUGAGCAGCCCGCUGGUCAAACGGAACAUCGGAAACCAAUUAAAGAAAACAAAUAAGCUUAGGUCUGGAC